AAAAAAAAAAAAAAAAAAAAAAAAAAAAAAAAAAAAAAGAGAGAGUCGUUUCGUAGG
rnacentral:ribozyme from 17 species